AUACUUUGUUUAGCAAUCUGGAGAGGAGUUGGCCUUCUUUAUCUUCCCGUUUGAAACUAGAAGCUAGAAGUACUCAGUGGCUGUAAGCUUGAAGAGAAUUCAAAGAAGCCGCAAAGGAGAUUGAAGAAAGUAAAGCCCUCUUGUUUUUAACAACUCUGCCUUGCCCCUCACACAUUUCCAUGAAGAGGAGAAAGUCUUAUAGCAAUGGAGCUUCAGGACUGGGAUUAUACUCUUAGGAACCAAACUAACACUCUUGUCUGCUAAGAUUAUCUGCUGGAGGUGACAUAUUUUCUCCAAUUAGAAUGUGGGAUAGGAACAGAGGGGAAGGUGAGGAGACACAGUGGAUAGAGAACUGGACUUGAAGCUAAGAAAACUUGCAUUUGGGGUCUUUCUACCUCCACCUACACUGGUUGUGUCACCCUAGGCAAAAUAUGCUCCACCAAAUUCAUGCAAGGAAAAUGAAAAAAAAAACAGCCCCUCAAAAAUGUCAUUAAAUGGGGGAAGAUGGACAAAAUUGACAGGGAGGAGGCAUGAACCAAGGAAAUUCCCUAAACUGAACAGGAGGAGGAGAAAUGCUGUCUUCGAUAGACAAAAUUCAGCCACAAUCAAGCUAAUUGAAUGCACAAAUGUAAUAUUUUUCUGGGGCACCUCCAAUUUAAUGCUUGAUGAAGUCGUGUCAUUCGCACGUAUUUACAAAAGCUUUUCUUCAUCCAGAAAUGUCUGUUGAAAUUGCUUACAGAUGCUGAGAUAGCAAAUCACUCUUCUAAUGUAAUGAGAUAAGUCAUCUCUAUAAACUUUGCUUGCUCAAAUGUACUCACAUAAAAGAAAUCAGGCUACAGGCUUUUUUUUCAAUAAAUAGAAUGAAUAACCAGAA
rnacentral:lncRNA from 1 species